UAAAGGCACUACUGGCCGGCUUUCUCAAUCUGAGAACAAGUGUCCAUAUUGAAAGGGUUGGCUCCUCGCUGCUGCAGCUCUAGAAAUUGCUCUACAGUUACUAUGAAGGUAUUUUUAAUUUGUUUCUUUAAUUAUAAAUCUAUUUACCUUCUACACAUUACACAAUGCUGAUGAUGAUAGAAUUUGAAAUUUAUUACAAAUGUAAAUUGAUUUUGUGUAGUUUUAGAAGCGCGAAGUUUGUCGAUAAAAGAUGACAUAAACCUUAGUCAGAAUGUAGUCCAGAUACACAUAGGUCCAAUUAAAAAAGAAAAGAAAAAUACUUUUGUUUACUGCCUUUGUGAUUCUGCCACAGAUUUACAACUUUUCCAUGCUUGCCUCAGCUAUAUUUGUCAACAGUCUGAUAGUUUUCACUUUCCAGUAGAAUAAACGAUAUACUGUAUUUUGACAAAGUUUCCUGCAUUAUUAAAUUUGAUGUGUAAGUUUAAGACAUUAGGGAAAUAACAGUCUAAUUAUGGUACCUAUUACUUUUGUAUAUGUUAUCAUUUGAAAGUUGUACAACUUUAGCUUUAGUCUUUCAUUUUAACCGCUAAUAACUUUGUCAUAGCCCUGUAUUGAAUUUAUCUACCUUUCCAAUGUCAGUAGAAUAAAGAGCAAAUGCUCCUGCUUAAUUAAAGUCUACUGAGGUAAUUUUUUGCUUGAUUUUUGUGAACUAUUUGAAAUGCAGAUGUCUCAAAGUAAUAAGCUUAAGAAGGAAUAUCUUGUGCCCGACCGAACAAACAUAUACAGAAGACAAAAGAGGAAUCCUUGGUGGAAAAGUUGAUUGCAGAAGCAUCCGAAGGAGAAGAUUGUUGUGCUAUUAUAUUCACCGAUGCCUGGUAAUUGCCACAAUCCUCAUUAAAAAUUAUAAUCACUGACAUCCCUGCUGGUGCUAAAACAUGUGAAAAGGAAAACAUGUGAACUUGUAGCUACAUUUUUUCCGGGGUUAACAUCACUGCACAAAUAUGACAUUCCUCAAACAAACACAAAGCACUUGGAGCAAACUAAAAUGCAUGUAUGGCCCAUCAAAGAAAAAAGCCUCAACAGUUUACGGUAAAAUGUUAUUCAAGAAAUCAAUUUUUUAACAUUCUAAUCAGAAAAGUUAUAGAAACCAUGUACAACAGAUAAGAUGGAAGUGCAUAUUUAAACAACGAAUAGAAUGUUGCUGUGUUUUUAUAUGUCAAAACUUGCUAGAUUUUGAACCUGUUAAGGUUUCUCUCUUUUUGAUUGAAUAGUAAAAAUAGAUAUUUUUUUUGUCCCAAGUUCUCUUUGUAUAGAAUAAAACUAUUGUUGCUGUUAGACGGUGGGUAGCUUUGAUAUUUUUUGAUUCAUCUCUAAAUUAACUCCUAAUAAUUCACAGCAACGCUGCAAUGAUUACACUUAUCAGGCAGUCUGCUGAUGCAGUUAUGACCAUAAUAUCUUGUGAACUGGUAUAUUUCAUUUCAUUUUCCUUGUACUCUUAACUGAAAAUGUCAUUAUGCUAUGCAGCAUGUCUACAACUAGAACUGUAUGGUCAGGAAGAACAACAACUACUAUCUUUCAUGUUUUAUUUCUAGUGCAACAGUCAUUUGAACCUUAAUAUUUUGUGUUACACAUCAAAUGUACAUGUGGUCUGUCAAAACCUUGCUUAAACAAAAUGUUUACCUACACAUUAAAGUAAAUACUCCAUGCCUAUAUCAAGUAUGUUUUCUUUUUUGCUUCUUCUGAAUUAUCAACAUGAUCCAGAAGUUUUUUGACUAAAUACUGAUUCUUAUAAUUAUGUCUUCUAAUUAUAUGUUGGCUACAUUUAUUUCACUGUUGCUAAAGUUGAUUUGACAUAGUUUAUCAUCUUUGUUGAUAGCAAUUCUAACUGUUGCUAUCUUGCACAAAUCCAUAUCAACAGGUACUGCUGGAAGACCAUAUGACUUUGGUAUUAUGGCUUCUGUAUUUUGUGCUUUGUAUAUCCAAAGCAUUUUACUGUGCUGAGUUAACAAAAUAUUAGAAAUAAACGGCUUAU
rnacentral:lncRNA from 1 species